rnacentral:lncRNA from 1 species
AUACCACUUCUGUCACACCAGGAUUUAAGGGAUAAAGACGGGUGCGUCUCAUAUGUGCGCCAAAGAAGAACAUCACAUAUAAUUACAAAGUGUAUAGAGAUAAAUGUCACAAAUAUCAUUAUUAUAUAGCAGAAGUCUUACAAAAAUGAAUAAGAACAAUAAAACGAACUAAGUAUUAUUCCUCGGCGCCAUCAAGCUGACUGGGAGACGCCACCUAGAUAAGCUCGUACUCCUCGUUGUAAGGCUCCUGCUAGACCACAUGUUCUUCUCCUGUUGGGGGUUUUUAUAUCGUAAGGGUGAGAUCACAAAAGAUCAUAGCUCAACAAGUUGUGGGAAUAAUGUGCAUGAACUCACCUAAGGUGGGAGUUCAUGUGAAGUGUAAGGCUGAUCAACAAAUAAGGGUUAAAGCUGAGCAUUGCUUUUAAUAAGUUGGUCAAGUUUUAUUAGUAGUUACUAAAUGUAAGUAUAUACCAAUCCAGAGUAAUAAUAGAUCAAAAUUAAUAAUAAAACCACAAUGCGAUGCAAAUGACAAAUUGAGUUUAAUUCCAUAAAUUAAUCAUGCGAGAGUCCUUAGCUGCUCAUGACCGCGAGCACGUCUAGUAUACCAGUUUUACACUCUGCAAAGGUUGCACCCUAUACCCACAAGUCAUGUUACUCAUCUGCCACGGGGUUGUACGGACCCCAUACACCUCUACCAAGGAAGCGAGGCAAGGUAACACUACGAGGCCUUUACAAUGUUCAACUAGCUUCAGAAAACCCGCUACAGUUUCUAGGGAGCGCAAUCCAGGAAUCCCACGUCUGACCGCCAUCGUAGCAAAAUCAACCCGAGAACCACCCUACACACCUACUCCCCUACUGCCCUUGCCCCUUUCAGGUAAGGUAGUCCUCCACUAGCUUUCCUAAUUAGUCAGCCAAGGGCGUCCAUUCCACUUUUGCGGUGGCACGUGUUUCUCAAGUUAAGCUCCAUGUUCCAAUAAACAUAGUAGUCUUAUCAUGAACAGAAAUGGAACAAUAAUAAAGAAUGACCAUGUGUAAUAGUUAUCUCAACACCCAAAACCAUAUGUAGCAACAGCAAAGACUACCCAAAAGUUUAGGGAUAAACAAGGUGUAAAGGUUACCAAACUAGGGUGACCUAUUGGGUCCCAUCAAAAUUAAGCCUAUCCAUGACAAAAUGAUUAUAGAGAACAUUAUUGGGUAAAUAAAAGUGUCAAGGGCACAACUUGGCUUCAAUAAGCUCCUGCUUAGCAACUUCUACCUGCUAAACACCUGGAUCCUCAAUCACUUGCUCGUCUAC